rnacentral:ncRNA from 18 species
UUCCGUAAGACAAGGUGGCAUACUUGGAAACAACUGCAAUGCUGUUAUUGGCAUAGGACACCUAAACCUCACGGUUUU